UUGAAAGGGAAACGAUUGAAGUCAGUCGUACCGGCGGGAAAUCAGCUUCUCGAGUGGGGGUUCGUGGGUGCGUUGAGCUUCGGCCUUCGUCGCUUGUGAUUGUUCCUUUGCUUCUGGGGCGUACUUUUCCGUGUGGUAGGUCAACAUCGGUUUUGAUUACCAUAAAAUGACCGGAGGAAUGUGGCUUCGAUCUUGUAUUGGAGUGUUAUAGCCUCUGGUAGAUGUGGUGGUUGGGAUCGAGGAUUGCAACGAAUACCCUUUGGGCUAUCCGCCUGACCUCUGAAAGUCGCUUGGGUACCGAAAGCUUGCUUAUGGUCAUUCAAGUUGGCGGUCAAAAGGUUAGAACGUGAUUAAAUUCGUUAAGGAUGUUGACGUA
rnacentral:rRNA from 1 species